GGCUCAUACGAUCAGCUUAUCUAGCAGUAUCAGCAACAGACUCAAUCUCAAUAUCGCCUGCCACAUAUGUCUGCUAUAGGCCAGCCAUACAGGGAUCAGGGUAUGAAAUCCAUGCAGGCUCAAACCGCUCCUGACCCGUUUGGUAUGCUUGGCUUGCUAAGUGUCAUAAGAAUGAGUGAUCCGGAUCUGACUUCUCUUGCACUUGGAAUCGAUCUUACAACUCUUGGAUUGAACUUGAACUCUGCUGAAAAUUUACACAAAACAUUUGGUUCCCCGUGGUCUGAUGAGCCUGCCAAGGGUGAUCCAGAAUUCACGGUACCACAAUGUUAUUAUGCCAAGCAACCACCUCCUCUAAAUCAAGCGUACUUUUCCAAGCUUCAGUUAGACACUUUGUUUUACAUUUUCUACAGCAUGCCGAAGGAUGAAGCACAAUUAUAUGCUGCUUAUGAAUUGUAUAACCGGGGGUGGUUUUACCACAGAGAACAUCGAUUGUGGUUUAUGAGGGUUGCCAACUUGGAGCCUCUUGUCAAGACCAACGCCUAUGAGAGAGGAUCUUAUAUUUGUUUUGAUCCAAACACAUGGGAGACAAUUCGCAAGGAUAAUUUCGUACUCCACUAUGAAAUGUUGGAAAAAAGACCUGUUCUACCUCAGCACUAACGAGAUUAUGUUCAGUUUACAGUGUACAUUUUUCAGAGUCCUUGUAGGAGUCAGCUAGUUCUCACCUGUAGUGUUCAGCUCUAUUGGGCCUUUUGGCAGCCAGCCGUUGUUACUGUAUUGUUUCUCAAUUAUUAAUUUACCCCUUGUAUUUUAAGAUGCUGCAAGUCGAAAUGAAAAAAAAAUAGGUUCAAUACAGUUCUCGUAUUUUCCCCCGUCAGCUUAACUUUUGCUUAUUGGAAUAACAUUUUU
rnacentral:misc_RNA from 1 species